AUUAUGCACUGGCCUCAAAGCAGAGCCCCAUUCGCUAUUGUGCACAUGAGUACAGGGGUACGGGAAGCAAUAUGCAGGUGUGGAUUGGAAAGGCUUGGGCCUUAAGCCCAAGAUACAUAUGGGUAAACCUGAUCCAAGCAUCAAAAGAAAGCUUCACAAAUUUCACCGUCUCUGCUACUAUACGUACGUAAAUAAGGGGAAACGAUGUCAAAAUCGAAUCAAAGAAACUCACCGGAUUGAAGCCCCGAUUGCGAACAUGUGGUUUUGACUCUGUUACAAUUAUUAUACAGGGCUGUAAUUAUUUCCAUUGGGAAAAAUGCAAGGGAAACUCAUGCUAUUAUGCAAGUGGCUUCAAUGUGAUUUGUGUUGCAAGACAAAACAGAGUUGUAACUGGCUUCUGUUAUACACUAUUGUGCAGGGGAUCAUUUGGACUUGUGAGAUUGGAUUAUGUUAUGCUUAAAUUUUGCAGCAGCUGGCUUGACUUGUAUUGAUUGUAUUAAUGGUUGAAAUUUGAAUUAGGAAUAUUGUAUUUUGAAGUUGGCUUUGUAUGGUGAUGUUGUAAUUUGAUUGAAGAUGUGAAUUGAAAUUAAUGUUUGAAUGGAAUAUAUUUGUGUUUGGUUUCA